rnacentral:lncRNA from 10 species
GGAGGAGGAUCGUGAGGCCAGUCCUCUAGGCUUGAAUCGCACGUCCCAGAGAGAGCGCCAGGAUGUGCUGAGAAAAUAGCCAGCACAUCCUGUGGUCUUUGCGGGGAAGAAGGGACUGGAUUUGGGUCUUAGCCCUGUGGCCGAGACGCGAGUCCUCACGGACUCUCUUCCAGCAUCUGGUCCAGGUGCAGACCAGAUGUUGGACAAUAAAGCCAACACACAGCCUGGGCAUGUGGUAGGGGCAGAAGCAAGUCAGGAGGGCACCUGCUGGCCCUGAGCUCUUCUCACCCUCCCUGCACAGCCCUUGAGCUUGGCAGGUGCACCCAGCAGCCAUGACUUUCUCGCCCCACACCAUCCGCAUCGAACGCGCUGCCCUGGAGUCUCAGCUCUUGCUUCCCUGGAGGCCCUUGUUGAAGUCUCAAAAUGAGAAGGCCCAAGGGAAACGUGUUUGAAAGGACUGAGCUUCCCCACCCCGGGGAGCCCCCCAUGCCUGGCGGCACGCAUGUCAAGAGCACACACACUCGGGCCAACAGCCUGGCAACGCCUCCUCCUACCUCAGGCAGCUGCGGUCAUGUUGAAACCUCAGAACCACAAGAGGAAAAGCAAAAACCAACAAGGCAUUCCACGGGAAAUGGACAGAGCAGCUCUGAAUAAGAAACCUCUGAGGAGUAGGAACGCCGUCCACAGGCAGGCCAGGAAAUAAAUAAUCUGUGGUUCAACCAGGUCGGUUACAUUGGCUCAUGAAUUCAUGGGGCAGAGGAGCAUGGGGCAGAGCCAUGGCAGCGAGGGUGGCACGGGCCAAGAGUCCGCUACAGAGGAAAUGCAUCUCAUGCUUUAUGAAAAUAAUCUAAUACUUAAGAAAAUUAGGAGAUUUUCACUGAGUCACUAUCAUCUUUCCUACAAACCAGCAUGCUUCCUACUUUCUACUCCAUUUAAGGAGGCAUUCCAGGCUCACUCCUUCAGCAACGGCAGCUUUGGGGCCACAGUGCCUUGGGCAUUACUGAAAUAGGAUGUGCACAUGGCUAUCUGAUGGGCGUGAAGAGGCUGAGCGUGUGGGUGAGUGGUGAAGAUGGAAGUGGCUCUGGCCCCAUAGGACACAUGCUAG